UAAGGCGGCCCUGGCUUCAGCAAAAUGUUGUCUUUGUAGAAUAUAUAAAUAUAAAAUUUUAUCAUUUUAAAAAUUGUUGCUGAAAUUAUUUGUUUAGAAUAAAAUUAGUUUAUUUUGUCCGAUUUGUCUGAAAUUUUGCAUGUAGUGUUUUUUUAUGACUUUCAAAAACUGUGUCAAGUACGGUCCGAAUCGGUCUUUAAUCUGAUAUAGCUCCCAUAUAAACUGAUCUCCCGAUUUGACUUCUUGAGCCCUUACAAGCCUCAAUUUUUGUUCGAUUUGGCUGAAAUUUUGCAUUGCGGUGUGCUGUUACGACUUCCAACAACUGUGCCAAAUCAGUCUAUAACCUAAUAUAGCUCCCAUGUAAAGCGGUCUCUUGAUCAUCCUUGUUCCUAGAAGCUUUAAUGUUUGCUGGUUUGACAGAAGUUUGAAUCCAUGGUGUUGGGAUUCCAAGACUCGGCCCGGCCGAACUUAGCACGCUUUUACUUGUUUUUUUUUUUAAAUUUAUUUCUGUUUGAAUUUUUAUAAUUAUGAUAAAUUACUGACUUUGACAUUCCCAUUUUUUCCCAAAACGUGACAUUAUAUUGUAACAAAAAAUUUUGUUGGUUGUCUUUAUUGAAUGAGAAUAAACACAUUUUAUAUUUCA